rnacentral:rRNA from 1 species
AAAAGGCCGCAGUAUUUUGACUGUGCUAAGGUAGCAUAAUCAUUAGAUUUUUAAUUGGAAUCUUGUUUGAAUGGUUUAAUGAAAUAAAUUCUUUAUUAUUUUAAAAAAAUGAAUUUUAUUUUUUAGUUAAAAAGCUAAAAUUUAUUAAUGGGACGAGAAGACCCUGUAGAAUUUUAUAUUCUUUAAAAUAAAAUAAUUAAAUUUAAUUUUAAAAAAAUAUUUUGUUGGGGUGAUAAUUAAAUUUAAUUAACUUUAAAAGUUUUUAUCAUUAAUUAAUGUAUUAAUGAUCUUUUUUUAUUGAUUAAAAAAUUAAAUUACCUUAGGGAUAACAGCAUAAUAUUAUUAAUAAGUUCUUAUUAUUAAUAAUGAUUAUGACCUCGAUGUUGGAUUAAAUAAAAUUUUUAUAAGAAGAAUUAUAAAUAAUAAGUCUGUUCGACUUUUAAUUAUUUACAUGAUCUGAGUUCAAACCGGUGUGAGCCAGGUCGGUUUCUAUCU